AGCGUACUGGAAAGUGCGCUUGGCAA
rnacentral:rRNA from 1 species